UGGCCUUUUUAUUAACUCUUAGCAAACUUACACAUGCAAGAAUCCCCGCCCCAGUGAGAAUGCCCUCUAUAUCAACCCUCUGAUCAAAAGGUGCAGGUAUUAAGUACACUUUAAGAGUAGCUCACAAUGCCUUGCUCCACCACACCCCCACGGGAUACAGCAGUGAUUAAAAUUAAACCAUGAACGAAAGUUCGACUGAGUUAUGCUAAUUCAACUUCGGGUUGGUAAAUUUCGUGCCAGCCACCGCGGUCAUACGAUUAACCCUAGUUAAUAAAACACGGCGUAAAGCGUGAUUAAGGACUACUCACAAAUAAGAUUAAGCCCCUACUACGCUGUAAAAAGCCUUAGUAAGUGUAAAAAUAAAAGACGAAAGUUAUCUUAUAACUCCUGAACUCACGAUAGCUAAGACCCAAACUGGGAUUAGAUACCCCACUAUGCUUAGCCCUAAACAUAAAUAUUCAACUAACAAGAAUAUUCGCCAGAGAACUACUAGCCACAGCUAAAAACUCAAAGGACUUGGCGGUGCUUUAUACCCCUCUAGAGGAGCCUGUUCUGUAAUCGAUAAACCCCGUUAAACCUCACCACCCCUAGCAAUUAUCAGCCUAUAUACCGCCAUCUUCAGCAAACCCUAAAAAGGAAGCAAAGUAAGCACAAUCAUUCUGCAUAAAAACGUUAGGUCAAGGUGUAGCCUAUGGGGUGGGAAGAAAUGGGCUACAUUUUCUACACUCCCUAGAACACUUACGUUAGCUGCUCUGAAACAUAGCUAGCCUAAGGUGGAUUUAGUAGUAAGCUAGGAAUAGAGCGCCUAGCUGAAUCGGGCAAUAAAGCA
rnacentral:ncRNA from 1 species